rnacentral:rRNA from 1 species
UACGGAGGAUGCGAGCGUUAUCCGGAUUUAUUGGGUUUAAAGGGUGCGUAGGCGGCUUUUUAAGUCAGCGGUGAAAUUUUGCAGCUUAACUGUAAAAGUGCCUUCGAAACUGGUUUCCUUGAGUGUAGAUGAAGUAGGCGGAAUUUGUGGUGUAGCGGUGAAAUGCAUAGAUAUCACGAGGAACUCCGAUUGCGAAGGCAGCUUACUAAGCUACUACUGACGCUCAGGCACGAAGGCGUGGGGAUCAAACAGGAUUAGAUACCCGCGUAGUCCCU